AGGGAUGUAGCUCAAUUGUAGAGCGCAUGCCUUGCAUGUAUGAAGGCCUGGGGUUCCAUCCCCACGCACUCCCU
rnacentral:tRNA from 1 species